ensembl:lncRNA
UAUUUAGGCAUUUGUACCAGCUGUGCGACAGCAGAAGUUCUCUCUGAUUAACUCAUCAACUGCAAAGUGAAGGUGGGGGCAGAGCGCUAUUAGCUGCGCGCUGCAGACAUCAUUAGGAGGGGAGACGCUUCCACCGUCAACGCCGGAGCAGAGCAGGGGAGCCCUGGCAACAAGGAGACACACAAACUCAGCAGCCCGCUAAACACCCCGCAUGAAUGGUGACUACACCUGCAGACAGACAGACGUGAACAGACGGUGCAGACAUCUGGGACGCUUCCCUCCUGUUGGUGCAGAGAUCCAGACUUCACAUCAGGAAGUGCAGCUCCAGUGAGUUGUCAGCUGAGCAGCAGGCUCCACCUACUCCACCCAAGUAGCUCUGCCUCCUCUGCUCAGGACCUCGACUUUGGAGCAACCUGCCGGAGGAGAUGAGGCUUACAGAGUCAGUAACUUCUUUUAAAUCACUUCUUAAAACCCACUUUUAUAGACUUGCUUGUAUGUUAGGUUUACUUUAAGCUUUAAUUAGUUUUAGUGUUUUAUUCUGUAUUAUGUCCUGUUUAUUUUAGAUGCUCUCUCUUGUUUUAUUUUAAUUUUAGCUGCCUGGUUCGUUGGUGUGAUGUCGUCUCUCUGAUUCUUUAAUUCUCUAUUUUUUUACUUUUAAUUUUAACCCGCGGUCUUGUUCUUUCAUUUUGAAACUGCCUAGUUCCCUUGUUUGAGUUGUGCGCUUAUCAUUUUUACUAUUUAUUUUUAAUUGACUGCUCUGCCUUGUCUCCUAUAGCUUGUUUGAUUGUCUCUGUGUUUGCAUGUUUUAACUGUCAAAGCACUUGGUGAACGCU